rnacentral:rRNA from 1 species
GAUGAACGCUAGCUACAGGCUUAACACAUGCAAGUCGAGGGGCAGCGGUAUCGAAAGCUUGCUUUCGGUAGCCGGCGACCGGCGCACGGGUGAGUAACGCGUAUCGAACCUGCCUCAUACUCGGGAAUAGCCUUGCGAAAGUAAGAUUAAUGCCCGGUGUUUUCAGAGUCCCGCAUGAGGCUUUGAACAAAGAUUUAUCGGUAUGAGAUGGCGAUGCGUCCCAUUAGCUUGUUGGCGGGGUAACGGCCCACCAAGGCAUCGAUGGGUAGGGGUUCUGAGAGGAAGGUCCCCCACAUUGGAACUGAGACACGGUCCAAACGCCUACGGGAGGCAGCAGUGAGGAAUAUUGGUCAAUGGGCGGAAGCCUGAACCAGCCAAGUAGCGUGCAGGAAGACGGCCCUCCGGGUUGUAAACUGCUUUUAGUUGGGAAUAAAACGGGGCUCGUGAGCCCACUUGCAUGUACCAUCAGAAAAAGGACCGGCUAAUUCCGUG